GUAGUCCACGUUUCAGCAGUACAUAUACCAAAACUGAAAUGAUACAGAGAAGAUUAGUAUGGCCCUUGCACAAGGAUGACACACAAAUUCGUGAAGCAUUCCAAAUUUUU
rnacentral:snRNA from 2 species